UACAUGGGCUCCAAGCGUUAUCCGGAUUUAUUGGGCGUAAAGGGUCUCCAGGUGGUCUGGUUAGUCGGGCGUAAAUUCCGCUGCUUAACGGCGGAGCUGCGUUCGAAACGGCCAAACUCGAGGGAUGGAGAGGGAGUAGGAACUCACGGUGUAGGGGUGAAAUCCGUUGAUAUCGUGGGGAACACCAAAGGCGAAGGCAAACUCCUGGCCAUUUCCUGACACUCAUGAGACGAAAGCGUGGGGAGCGAACGAGG
rnacentral:rRNA from 1 species